UAGCCAGCAAAGCCCGAGCAAAACGAAUUUUAGUUCGACCCCCCGAAACUAAGCGAGCUACUCCGAGACAGCCUAUUAUAGGGCCAACCCUUCUCUGUGGCAAAAGAGUGGGAAGAACUCCGAGUAGAGGUGAUAAACCUACCGAGCCUAGUGAUAGCUGGUUGCCUGAGAAAUGGAUAGGAGUUCAGCCUCUUAGAUUAUACCCUCACAUCGUCCUCAACCCUGCCGACCAAAAGAAACUAAGAGAGUUAACUAAAGGGGGUACAGCCCCUUUAAGCAAAGAUACAACUUCUCCAGAAGGUUAAAGAUCAUAAAUACCAAGGACAUAUGUUCUAGUGGGCUUAGAAGCAGCCACCUAUGCAAAAAGCGUUAAAGCUUAGACACACCCUUUCUCCCAGAUCCCGAUAAAACUAUCUCAACCUCUGUACAAUACCAGGCCGCCCUAUGCACACAUAGGAGUGACCAUGCUAAUAUGAGUAAUAAGAGGGCAUGCCCCUCUCCUCGCACAAGUGUAAAUCGAAACGAACCCCCACCGAAAAUUAACGGCCCCAAAAGAAGAGGGAAUUAGACCAACCACCCGCCAACUAGAAAAACACCAAACUAUAACCGUUAACCCCACACUGGUGUGCCCCAAGG
rnacentral:rRNA from 1 species